AAUAUAUUGAUUUGAAUUUUCUAAGACACUUUUUUUGUUGGUAAAAGUCAUAUGCGAGUAGGCGUCAACUAAUGAUGAUAAUAAUAACAAUAAAUGUUUUUUUGUAGAAAAUAAGAUUGUUAAAAGGAUUUCUGAAGGAUUGUGUGACUGGAGUAAUGAUGCAAAAAAUUCAGUUUGAAAGUCAGCUUUGAUUGUUCCUAAUAAACUGUUUAACUGCACUCACAAGUGAAUAUUAAAUUAUGUUGUGGGAUAAUUAAAUAUAUUCUAAAUAAACUACAAACAUAAAAUUAUAUACAUUUAUUUUGUCCUCACAUUCUUUCUUGUAACUCAUCCCUCUCAGUGACACACCUGGCUGAAUGGCUCAUUAUGCAGCUCAUUAUGCAGGCCUUUGUCUUCUCAGGUGUGAAUUCAUGAUAGUUGACGCCUACUCGCAUAUGACUUUUACCAACAAAAAGUGUCUUAGAAAAUUUAAAUCAAUAUAUUGUUUUCUGUAAGUGAGUAAACAAGAUGAUUUUCACAUCAUUUAGAUUCUAGGCUACAAGCUCCAGUUCUCAAAAUUCCUGGGAACCAAUUUUUCUGUAUGUGUUUUAUUGCCUUAUUCAAGUGAUUUAACAUUUUUAGUUUUUCACUAACCACGCAUAACAUUUUUUUUCUCAAAAACACAAUCAUGUACAUACAUGCUGCUCACAUAUUAUUAUAGCCCAGUUUGUGCUGAUUACAGUGAGAUUAGACUUUAGCCAUUUAGAUAUUUAUAAGAAACUGAAAAAAGCACAAAUGUCAGGGCAUGACAAAACUUCUCCAGGCCCCAAAAAUACCCUUAGACUCCAGAGGGUUAACUUCUUGGUUCAGUAAAUUCAUUCCUAACUACGCGACAGUAAUAGAACCACUGAGAGUGUUGUUGCUAUCUGAUACACUCACACUUGAAAGGAGAUCGGAAGAGCUCUCUGAGGAAGAGUUGACUGUGCUGCCGCCCUCUGGGAUGGUGGCAAUGCUUGAAUCAGAUCCAGAGAUAACACCUAGCUUUGCGUAAAUUUCAUCUAACAGUUGGGGGGGGUCAAUAAACAUAAUUUCUCAAGAUCGAUUUUUACGGGGGCACAGAUAAUACAGCUAAAAUUGUACUUGUAGGAUAUGUAUAUACAGAGGAAAGCCUUACUACUAUUAGUGCAGCAGGGAGACCAUGCCAAAAUUUAACCCAAUCUCAUGAAAGUGCAUAUAAAUAAAUACUGUAGUACGUCAAAUAAGCAUUUUCACGAGACUGUGCUCGCCAGCUGUUGUGGUCACGCCGCGAACGUGUCCAUUGUAUCUGUCACAGUGCUGCCAAGUCCACGGUUUUCCCCUGAAAUUGGGCUACUUUAUCACUGUUGCUGCGGGUUGUUUUUCAUGUCCGUGGGUUGAAGCGACCCCAAUAAAGUGUAUUUUAGCCCCCAGAACGUGAUUUUUACCGGGGUACCCCUCGAAACGCGGUUCGUUUGGGCUAGUUGUGGGUGGCAGUUGGGAGGGUUUUGUUGUAAAAAAAACAAAACAAACAAACAACAACAACAAAAAAACAACAACAUGGAAACCCUUUCCGUCAAGCAGGUAAAGUUAUUAUUGCUAGCAUAGCGACUCCAUUGGCAUCAUCUGUAUUAAAGGGAAAAUUUCUCGUGAUCACGACUUAGGCUAUUUUUUUUGUGAUCUCGACAUAACAAGAGUUGUUUUCUUGUUAUCACGACUUUUUUUUUCUUGUGAUGUCGACAUAACAAAAAUUGUUUUUCUCAUUAUCACAACUUAUUUUUCUCGUGAUCUCAACAUAACAAGAGUUGUUCUCUAAAUUACACAACUGCACCAACAGAUGGCAGUAUAAAACUAUUGAUGUGGAGUUUAUAGGCUACUCUAUCAACUAGAGAUGCACCAAUGUAUCGGCCAACAAUCGGUAUUGGCCAAUAGAAGAAAUUUUUUGCACUAUCGGCCAUCGGCCGAUUGUUUAAAAACAUCUGAUGAUCAGGGACCAUAUCCUGUCGAUCAAAAUUGGCGGGAAUGUGCAUCAAAUACGUGCUGUGUGUAAAGAUGUCUCUUGUGUGGAAUUACUUUAAAGUGGGUGACAAUGAUGACAAAACUGCAGUUUGUAAGCUUCAGUAAAAAAUUUUAACACAACUAAUUUGAUAACACACCUUAAAUGCUGACAUGCCAAGGAAUAUGAGGAGUUCGCAGAGGCUGCUUUAGCUACAAAAGCUAAAUGCCAAACAAAGGCUAGCGUGACGAAAGGCUAGCGUCUAUCGCACAAGUGUUUAACAGCACCAGAAAAUUACAACCUGUCCUCCAACUAAUAUGCUUGUAUAGGUCGUUUGUCCAAAUCCCUGAAAUACGACCCAUCGGAGCGUAUACUACAAUUGCGCCCCUAUCAGCAAAAGGUCGUUUUCAUAUUAAUGUUUUGUACUCUUUUA
ensembl:lncRNA